rnacentral:rRNA from 1 species
CCUACGGGUGGCUGCAGUGAGGAAUAUUGGUCAAUGGACGCAAGUCUGAACCAGCCAAGUAGCGUGCAGGAUGACGGCCCUCCGGGUUGUAAACUGCUUUUAGUUGGGAAUAAAAGGGGGCUCGUGAGCCCCGUAUUGUAUGUACCAUCAGAAAAAGGACCGGCUAAUCCCGUGCCAGCAGCCGCGGUAAUACGGAAGGUCCGGGUGUUAUCCGGUUUUUUGGGGUUUAAAGGGAGAGUAGGCCGGCUUUUAAGUCAGCUGUGAAAGUUCGCGGCUCAACCGUGGAAUUGCAGUUGAAACUGGAAGCCUUGAGUACACGCAGGGAUGCCGGAAUUCAUGGUGUAGCGGUGAAAUGCUUAGAUAUCAUGAAGAACUCCGAUCGCGAAGGCAGGUGUCC